GAUGAAGAACGUAGCGAAAUGCGAUACUUGGUGUGAAUUGCAGAAUCCCGUGAACCAUCGAGUCUUUGAACGCAAGUUGCGCCUCAAGCCAUUAGGUUGAGGGCACGUCUGCCUGGGCGUCACAUAUCGUUGCCUGAUGCCAGUUUCCUCGUGAUGGGUGACUGUGCAGGGCGAAUGAUGGCUUCCCGUGAGCAUUGUUGCCUCAUGGUUGGUUCAAAAUUGAGUCCUUGGUAGGGAGCGCCGUGAUAGAUGGUGGUUGAGUGACGAACGAGACCCAAUCAUGUGAGACCCCUACCGAAUUUGGCCUUCAUGACCCACAUGCGUCUUUGGAACGCUCAUGACGAGACCUCAGGUCAGGCGGGGCUACCCGCUGAGUUUAAGCAUAUCAAUAAGCGGAGGA
rnacentral:misc_RNA from 1 species